GGAAAAUAUUAGUUUGUAAUAUUGGUUUCCUGAAGAAACUAGGUCUAAUGUGGGUCUUUGAGUAGGUUACUUUGAACUUCAAAUAUAAUCUCACUCAUCAAAGGUGACCUUGGCUGCAGCAGGCCCAGCACAGCAGGUGCAUAACCAUUUUAUCCAAGGGAGCGAUACAAAUACAUGAUCACUCUAUUCCUCCUCCUCUAUUCCAUCACAUCCCUUGAAAUAUGGCAAAGCUUCUCUUCACCACUUACUUUUUCUCAUGAAAGCAUUAUCUAUUUCAAUGCUGACUCACUGAUAACAUAAAAGAGUGAGGGA
rnacentral:lncRNA from 1 species